UUCCUUUAAGAUAAAAUGGGCAAAUCUGAUCUGUUUAUUUAGUAGAGAAGCCUUUUGUCUACUAAUAUGGACAAAGUGUGUCGAUCUAACCCGUUUAUUUAUUAGAAAGGCUUUUUUUUUUGCAGCCAUUGGGUGGUCAGAUUUGUCUAUUAAAUAGAUGAAACAGACCAACCUGGUCCAUUUAUCUAUUUGAAGGACUUGCAGCAGUUGGAUGAUCAAAUCUGUCCAUAAAAAGAGAGUAGCCGGAUCUGGUCCAUCUAUCCAUUACCGAAAGGAGGAAAAGGAUAGAUCACACCCGUCUGUUUACUGGAAACUACUAUAAAGACUUACGACCAUUAGAUUUCUGGCUUGUUUAUGAUUUAUGGUGAUCAAAUCACCCCAAACACAUAUGCUACUAAGACUUACAGUU
rnacentral:lncRNA from 1 species